CUAUUUUUGAAGGCCUUCCCA
rnacentral:siRNA from 1 species